CCCCAUAGCUUAAUUGGCAAAGCAGCUCCCUCUUAAGGAGAUGACUCCAGGUUCGAGUCCUGGUGGGG
rnacentral:tRNA from 1 species